AUUUGGAUUUAAGCACUUCAUAAAGCCCACUGGCUCGCUCUGUAGGCCUCCCAGCAAACCUUUCUUCUUUAGGAUAACCAACUGGAAAAAUACACAGAAGACAGGCUGCCUGAGGGGAUGAACCGGAGUGGUAUUACAAAGGAAACUUGUCUAUGGGAUUCCUGCAUCAUUUGUUUCAGAAGCUGAAAGGUGCCCGAUGAAAAAAGGAUGAGAUUGCAGGGAGAUAAAGUAUGGUCUCUUGGUGAGAUGGGGUUGAACACUACCUGGACAAAUGGAUUCUAUAACUAUUCCUGCCAUCAAGUCUUAAUAUGUUGCUAAGCAAGUCACUUACUCUAAAAUUUUUAAAGGCUGUCACCAAUCACAUGUUCCUCAGUUUCUUUGCAUCUGAGUUGAAACACUGGAAUCUGAUUUACAGGAGGGUUCAGCACUGACAUCAACAGCUAAAGUCAGUGGGAAACUCUCUCACAUCUCAGGGAUGUUGUAAAAAUGAAUUCAUUCUUAUUUGUGAAGUACUGAGGUGAGUAAUAAAGAAAAACCCAGGAAGAAAUUAAUAAUUUUGUCAUGAAAUCAGGAUUAGAUUAGCAUUCAGUAAAUAAGGCCUAGGGUCCGAGAGGGAACAGUGAAAUUUGAACAAAAUAUUGAACUGCUGCUUAUCUGCUGAGUGCCAGACAUUCUGCACACAGAAUAAAGCAGAUGUGAUGUGGGAAAAAAACAGGAUAUGAUAAUGUAAUCAUAAUGCACAUGCACAAUGGAGCUCAUUAAAUUUACACAGCUAACCUUCA